UAGCCCUAAUGGCUGAACCGCAACUUGGAGGAAUGUAUAGCGAAAGCUAGUUGCAUUAAUUAACAGUUAGUGUAGCAUUGACUAUGUCAACUAAAGUUCUAGGUAGAGUUAUGAUUAUGACAUUUUCUACCUAUGUGUCUUGACCAAAUCACGUGCCAGCAGUCGCGGUAAUACGUGGAAGACUAGUGUUAUUCAUCUUUAGCAGGUAUAUAGGGUACUUAGACGGUAAAUUCAGCCCUAGAGAUAAGGGUACUGAUUAGACUAGAGUUUUAUCCGAGGGGGUACGGGAGUACUACCGGUGUAGAGAUGAAAUUUUUUCAUACUGCUAGGACUGGCAACGGCGAAAGCAACCCUUUAUGUAAAAACUGACGUUGAAGGACGAAGGCUUGGUUCACCAACAGGAUUAGUUACCCCAGCAGUCUGAGCAGACAAUGAUGAAUGUCAUAGAUAGGAAAUAUACCUCUAUUAAUAAUAGUGACAGAUAAUAAGUACAUUAUUAAUGAUACUAAUUGUUAAAAUUGAAUAACACUACAAUUUUAACAAUACAAUCUGAAUAAUACAAUAUUAAUAAUACAAUAUUAAUAAAAACGGUAAUAACUGUCUAUAAAUGAAAGUGUAAGCAUUCCACCUCAAGAGUAAUGCGGCAACGCAUAAACUGAAAUCAUUAGACCGUAUCUGAAACCAGUAGUGAAGUAUGUUGUUUAAUUAGAUAGUCCUCUAAAAACCUCACCACAAUUUGUAUAUUUAUUUUAUAUAAAUACAAGCGUUGCACGGCUGUCUUCAGUUAAUGUCGUGAGAUUCUGGUUAGUUCCAUUAAUUAACGCAAACCCUUACUUUAUUUAGUUUAAUAUAUAAAGUAGUUCCCCGCUAUAUUGGAUAAGAUAACAGGGACUAAGACAAGUCAUCAUGACCUGAAUAUUGUGGGCUAUAGACGUGCUACAUAAGACUACACAAAGGGAUGCUAAAUUGKAAAUUAGC
rnacentral:rRNA from 1 species